GACGAACGCUGGCGGCGUGCCUAAUACAUGCAAGUCGAACGCUUCUUUCCUCCCGAGUGCUUGCACUCAAUUGGAAAGAGGAGUGGCGGACGGGUGAGUAACACGUGGGUAACCUACCCAUCAGAGGGGGAUGACACUUGGAAACAGGUGCUAAUACCGCAUAACAGUUUAUGCCGCAUGGCAUAAGAGUGAAAGGCGCUUUCGGGUGUCGCUGAUGGAUGGACCCGCGGUGCAUUAGCUAGUUGGUGAGGUAACGGCUCACCAAGGCCACGAUGCAUAGCCGACCUGAGAGGGUGAUCGGCCACACUGGGACUGAGACACGGCCCAGACUCCUACGGGAGGCAGCAGUAGGGAAUCUUCGGCAAAGGACGAAAGUCUGACCGAGCAACGCCGCGUGAGUGAAGAAGGUUUUCGGAUCGUAAAACUCUGUUGUUAGAGAAGAACAAGGACGUUAGUAACUGAACGUCCCCUGACGGUAUCUAACCAGAAAGCCACGGCUAACUACGUG
rnacentral:rRNA from 1 species